GGUGAUAGUCCCGUACACCAAAAUGCACAGGUUGUGAACUCGAAGAGUAGGGCGGGACACGUGGUAUCCUGUCUGAAUAUGGGGGGACCAUCCUCCAAGGCUAAAUACUCCUGACUGACCGAUAGUGAACCAGUACCGUGAGGGAAAGGCGAAAAGAACCCCGGCGAGGGGAGUGAAAAAGAACCUGAAACCGUGUACGUACAAGCAGUGGGAGCACCUUCGGGUGUGACUGCGUACCUUUUGUAUAAUGGGUCAGCGACUUAUAUUCUGUAGCAAGGUUAACCGUAUAGGGGAGCCGCAGGGAAACCGAGUCUUAACUGGGCGUUAAGUUGCAGGGUAUAGACCCGAAACCCGGUGAUCUAGCCAUGGGCAGGUUGAAGGUUGGGUAACACUAACUGGAGGACCGAACCGACUAAUGUUGAAAAAUUAGCGGAUGACUUGUGGCUGGGGGUGAAAGGCCAAUCAAACCGGGAGAUAGCUGGUUCUCCCCGAAAGCU
rnacentral:rRNA from 1 species